AAGUUAACAUUAGAUGCGAGCAAAACCGCGUAGUUAAACCGAUGAUUAACAAAAUGAAUUAGUGUCUAAAGUUAGACCCGAAGCUAGGUGAUCUUACCAUGGUCAGGGCUAUAAAGGUCCGAACGGGUUAUUGUGGCAAAAAUAUCCGAAGAACUGUGGUAAGUAUAGUGAAAGACAAAACUGACCUAGAUA
rnacentral:rRNA from 1 species